rnacentral:lncRNA from 1 species
UCUAAAAGAUAUGAGCAACACAAGAUGAUAUGGUAUGAAUGCAAAAUGUAUGCAAAUGACUACCACAAGCACAUUAAAUCAUGGGUGCAACAAGAUAUCAUGGAGCUACAUAAAAUUGUAGGCAAGUUUAAAUGAAGCCGGGCAACGAAUAACAAUUCUGGAAAGUCCCCAUAUGUAGUUUUCCAAUUUGCUACAGAUCUGUCUAGAACACAAUUUUAGAUUU